rnacentral:rRNA from 1 species
AUUGAACGCUGGCGGCAGGCCUAACACAUGCAAGUCGAACGAGUGGCAGACGGGUGAGUAAUGUAUGGGGACUGCCUGAUGGCGGGGGAUAACUACUGGAAACGGUAGCUAAUACCGCAUACCAUCAUAUAACCCAUAUGGGCUGGGCUAGUAGGUAAGGUAACGGCUUACCUAGGCGACGAUCCCUAGCUGGUCUGAGAGGAUGAUCAGCCACACUGGGACUGAGAAACGGCCAGGACUCCUACGGAGGCAGCAGUGGGGAAUAUUGCACAAUGGGCGCAAGCCUGAUGCAGCCAUGCCGCGUGUAUGAAGAAGGCAUCCGGGUUGUAAAGUACUUUCAGUCGGGAGGCGUUACCGACAGAAGAAGCACCGGCUAACUCCGUGCCAGCAGCCGCGGUAAUAC